UCCUCCCUAGGUGCGUGGCCACAGAGCAGAAUCGAGGGCGCAAAGGUUGUUACGCUGUCGAUUGAGCCAGGAGUUCUUCAGAUGGGGUUGGUGAGUGCAAUAGUGCUGGAGUGUGUGGACUUUCUUUUUCUCCAGGGAAGUCAAAUCAGUGGUGGUUCUGUUAAUUGCACUGACGUAAUAUUUGUAUUCUCUGAAGGUGACGGUUCUGAUUUAAUCACUUUGAACCCAAGUGAGGUUUAUAGCCCAAAUAAAUGUUUGCUCUACGUAACAUAACAUAUAUAACUUUUGUAUUUAGCCUUCGGUUGCAUCGGGGGCAAACAAGUGCUAUUUUGUCUAAGUUUUACUUUCCUAUAUCGUAGAGUGCUUGAUUGUAGGACUACACAUGUUGAAUCGUUAUAACUGUGGCAUUAGGUUUCUCAAAGCCAAAGUUCAAUUUUUACCACCCUACUGAGAUACUAAUUUAGAUCUGUUGGUGUUAGAAAUAUACCUAAUAGUAGGACAUACAUAGAUGGAACACUCGUUCCUACAAUUUAGCAACCAAAGUGUGUUCCUUUUCCUUCUACAGUUACUUGCUUAUCUACUUGAAAUCUAAUCUGUCAAUUAUAAUGUGCCAUAAAUUUUCUUUUAAGGAAAAAGAAUGGAAAAAGGGAAGAUAUGAAGAUGAUGCUGAAGCACGAGUGCGAGAGAGGCUAGCAAAACUUAUAGCAAGGAAUGGUGCAGACUUUGAACGUUUUGGGUCCUAAAAUAUAAAUGAAGAUCCUGGAGGCCGAGCCAGUCAAUGACAAACCAACAGGAGGAAGCGCACUGCAUAAAUGCCUACUGUUGAAGCAACUCGAGUUCUUAGGUCCAAAACGACUAGAGAUGUUGAAGACAAAUACAUGGCAAAAGCAGGAAUGUGACCACAAGCAAGCUAGGAGGUAACAAGCACAGUAUUUGGAUGUGAUGGCAUUAACUAUUGGUGGCUUAUUUGUAUGCCUAACAAGUUGGGUGAAAAAUGCUCAUUUGGUAAAAAUUUCUUCAUAGGUUUCCGAAAGGCACACAAGUUGACGGACGCUUGAAAUACCUUCAAGCCGUUGAAGAUUUGGAAGACCUGUAAUUAAGUUGGUGGGGUGAUAAUGUCAUAUGCCUUGUUGAACCUGGAGACUUGCUCUGCCCAUUUUGGUUAUGUGGCACAUUUAGAAAUAUAUGUACUUCUCCAUUUGUGGCACUACUUCAUUUUGGUUGUGUGGCACAUCUAGAAACAUAUAUGUACUUCUCCAUUUGUGGCACAACCUCCUUAUAUAUGAUUGUUAUAUAUGUUUAUUGAAUCAACUUUAAGGUUUUUGAUGAGGCCUA